CUGCGGCAGUACCUGGAUCCGGCCCAGCGUGGCGUCCGCGUCCUCGAGGUGGCCUCGGGCUCCGGCCAGCACGCAGCGCACUUCGCGCGGGCCUUCCCCCUGGCCGAGUGGCAGCCGUCGGACGUGGACCAGCGCUGCCUGGACAGCAUCGCGGCCACCACGCAAGCCCAGGGCCUGACCAACGUGAAGGCCCCGCUACACCUGGACGUGACGUGGGGCUGGGAGCACUGGGGCGGGAUCCUGCCACAGUCGCUGGACCUGUUGCUCUGCAUCAACAUGGCCCAUGUCAGCCCCCUGCGCUGCACGGAGGGGCUCUUCAGAGCAGCAGGACACCUGCUCAAACCCAGGGCCCUGCUCAUCACCUACGGGGGAGGGGGUGCCCUUUCAUUCUCCAAACCCCAGCCUGCAAGUCUGUCCCAGGCUCUCUGGGAAAUACCCCGACCUUGGUCCAGUGGGCUGUGUCCCCAUGCCCACAGCCCUAUGCCAUCAAUGGGAAGAUCUCCCCCCAGAGCAACGUGGACUUUGACCUGAUGCUCAGAUGCAGGAACCCAGAAUGGGGGCUUCGGGACACAGCCCUCCUGGAGGACCUGGGAAAGGCCAGUGGCCUGCUCCUGGAGAGGAUGGUGGACAUGCCAGCCAACAACAAAUGCCUGAUCUUCCGGAAAAACUAAGCCCCUCCUUCACCCCCGCACACCUGCAUCCCUGCCGGAGGCUCUGUGAGGCACGAACCCUGCCUCCCUAGGCCGGACCUUGUG
rnacentral:lncRNA from 1 species